UCCAGAGUUUGAUCCUGGCUCAGAUUGAAACGCUGGCGGCAUGCUUUACACAUGCAAGUCGAACGGUAACAGGGUGCUUGCACCGCUGACGAGUGGCGAACGGGUGAGUAAUGCGUCGGAACGUGCCGAGUAAUGGGGGAUAACGCAUCGAAAGGUGUGCUAAUACCGCAUACGCUCUGAGGAGGAAAGCUGGGGAUCGAAAGACCUGGCGUUAUUCGAGCGGCCGACGUCUGAUUAGCUAGUUGGUGAGGUAAAGGCUCACCAAGGCGACGAUCAGUAGCGGGUCUGAGAGGAUGAUCCGCCACACUGGGACUGAGACACGGCCCAGACUCCUACGGGAGGCAGCAGUGGGGAAUUUUGGACAAUGGGGGCAACCCUGAUCCAGCCAUGCCGCGUGUCUGAAGAAGGCCUUCGGGUUGUAAAGGACUUUUGUUUAGGGAGCAAGUCAUCCAGGUUAAGAGCUAGUAGGGAUGAGAGUACCUAAAGAAUAAGCACCGGCUAACUACGUGCCAGCAGCCGCGGUAAUACGUAGGGUGCAAGCGUUAAUCGGAAUUACUGGGCGUAAAGGGUGCGCAGGCGGUAUUGUAAGCCAGAUGUGAAAUCCCCGGGCUCAACCUGGGAACUGCGUUUGGAACUGCAAUGCUAGAGUGUGUCAGAGGGGGGUGGAAUUCCACGUGUAGCAGUGAAAUGCGUAGAGAUGUGGAGGAACACCGAUGGCGAAGGCAGCCCCCUGGGAUAACACUGACGCUCAGGCACGAAAGCGUGGGGAGCAAACAGGAUUAGAUACCCUGGUAGUCCACGCCCUAAACGAUGACAACUAGCCGUUGGGAACUUCGGUUCUUGGUGGCGUAGCUAACGCGAGAA
rnacentral:rRNA from 1 species